GACGAACGCUGGCGGCGCGCCUAACACAUGCAAGUCGAACGAGCAAAGAGGAGCUUGCUUCUCUGAGCGAGUGGCGAACGGGUGAGUAACGCGUGAGGAACCUGCCUCAAAGAGGGGGACAACAGUUGGAAACGACUGCUAAUACCGCAUAAGCCCACGGGUCGGCAUCGACCAGAGGGAAAAGGAGCAAUCCGCUUUGAGAUGGCCUCGCGUCCGAUUAGCUAGUUGGUGAGGUAACGGCCCACCAAGGCGACGAUCGGUAGCCGACCUGAGAGGGUGACCGGCCACAUUGGGACUGAGACACGGCCCAAACUCCCUACGGGAGGCAGCAGUGGGGAAUAUUGCACAAUGGGGGAAACCCUGAUGCAGCGACGCCGCGUGAACGAAGAAGUAUUCGGUAUGUAAAGUUCUAUCAGCAGGGAAGAUAAUGACGGUACCUGACUAAGAGCACCGGCUAAAUACGUG
rnacentral:rRNA from 1 species